rnacentral:rRNA from 1 species
CGAGUCAUUGUAGCAUACAAGGCAUACGGCUCAGUAACGCGUAGUCCCUUAACCUAUGGACGGGAAUAACCUCGGGAAACUGAGAAUCAUGCCCGAUAGAACAUUAUGCCUGGAAUGGUUUAUGUUCCAAAUGAUUUAUCGCCGUAGGAUGGGACUGCGGCCUAUCAGUUUGUUGGUGAGGUAAUGGCCCACCAAGACUAUUACAGGUACGGGCUCUGAGAGGAGUAGCCCGGAGAUGGGUACUGAGACACGGACCCAGGCCCUAUGGGGCGCAGCAGGCGAGAAAACUUUGCAAUGUGCGAAAGCACGACAAGGUUAAUCCGAGUGGUUUCUGCUAAAGAAACCUUUUGUCAGUCCUAGAAACACUGAUGAAUAAGGGGUGGGCAAGUUCUGGUGUCAGCCGCCGCGGUAAAACCAGCACCUCAAGUGGUCAGGAUGAUUAUUGGGCCUAAAGCAUCCGUAGCCGGCUCUGUAAGUUUUCGGUUAAAUCUGUACGCUCAACGUACAGGCUGCCGGGAAUACUGCAGAGCUAGGGAGUGGGAGAGGUAGACGGUACUCGGUAGGAAGGGGUAAAAUCCUUUGAUCUAUUGAUGACCACCUGUGGCGAAGGCGGUCUACCAGAACACGUCCGACG